rnacentral:tRNA from 1 species
AAGUCGGUGGCAAAGACGGAGUGCACGCGUUCGGGGUGCGAACCGACCCGGACGAUGCAGUUCGCUUCGUCGAUCAAACCGGCGUCGACUCGC